rnacentral:rRNA from 2 species
UGGGCGUAAGCGCGCGCAGGCGGUUUCUUAAGUCUGAUGUGAAAGCCCACGGCUCUACCGUGGAGGGUCAUUGGAAACUGGGGAACUUGAGUGCCGAAGAGAAAAGCGGAAUUCCACGUGUAGCGGUGAAAUGCGUAGAGAUGUGGAGGAACACCAGUGGCGAAGGCGGCUUUUUGGUCUGUAACUGACGCUGAGGCGCGAAAGCGUGGGGAGCAAACAGGAUUAGAUACCCUGGUAGUCCACGCCGUAAACGAUGAGUGCUAAGUGUUAGAGGGUUUCCGCCCUUUAGUGCUGCAGCUAACGCAUUAAGCACUCCGCCUGGGGAGUACGGUCGCAAGACUGAAACUCAAAGGAAUUGACGGGGGCCCGCACAAGCGGUGGAGCAUGUGGUUUAAUUCUAAUUUUACGCGAAGAACCUUACCAGGUCUUGACGUCGGCUGACAACUCUAGAGAUAGAGCGUUCCCCUUCGGGGGACAGAGUGACAGGUGGUGCAUGGUUGUCGUCAGCUCGUGUCGUGAGAU